rnacentral:lncRNA from 1 species
AUGCCAUUAUGUAAUGCAGCACAUCACAACAAAUCACAUCUCGGAUGGCAUUGUCACCAAUAGUCCUCUACAUAGUCCAACUGUGCCGGGACGUAGAAUGGGUACAACCGGUCUUUCCCUUAUCAUAACAUAUCAUACAGUCCAAUUGUGCCAGGGACGUAGAAUGGGUACAACCUGGACUUCCUCUUACAUCGUGCCAGGGACGUAGAAUGGGUACAACCUGGACUUCCAUACCAUAUCUCAUGCCGUAGCAUCAUCAUAUCAUAUGAGGACUAAAGGAUCAUCCAAUUGACCAAUCCACAUCAACAUCAUAAAUGCAAUGCAACAUAUUCGUG